CCUACGGGCGGCUGCAGUAGGGACUUUUCCACAAUGGGCGAAAGCCUGAUGGAGCAACGCCGCGUGGGUGAAGAAGGUCUUCGGAUCGUAAAACCCUGUUGUUAGAGAAGAAAGUGCGUGAGAGUAACUGUUCACGUUUCGACGGUAUCUACCCAGAAAGCACCGGCUAACUCCGUGCCAGCAGCCGCGGUCAUACGUAGGUGGCAAGCUUUAAUCGGAUUUAUUGGGCGUAAAGGGUACGCAGGCGGUGUAGUAAGUCUGAUGUGAAAGCCUUCGGCUUAACCGUGGUAGUGCAUUGGAAACUGGGUGACUUGAGUGCUGAAGAGGAGAGUAGAACUCCAUGUGUAGCGGUGAAAUGCGUAGAUAUGUGGAGGAACACCAGUGGCGAAGGCAGCUCUCUGGGCUGUAACUGACGCUGAGGUGCGAAAGCGUGGGUAGCAAACAGGAUUAGAUACCCCGGUAGUC
rnacentral:rRNA from 1 species